rnacentral:rRNA from 1 species
ACUGCUCAGUAACACGUGGAUAACCUGCCCUAAGGAAGGGGAUAACCUCGGGAAACUGAGGAUAAUACCCUGUAGGUUACAGAUGCUGGAAUGCCCUGUAACCGAAAGCUCCGGCGCCUUAGGAUGGAUCUGCGGCCGAUUAGGUUGUUGUUGGGGUAACGGCCCAACAAGCCGAUAAUCGGUACGGGUUGUGGGAGCAAGAGCCCGGAGUUGGAUUCUGAGACACGAAUCCAGGCCCUACGGGGCGCAGCAGGCGCGAAAACUUUACAAUGCGGGAAACCGUGAUAAGGGAACCCCGAGUGCCUGUAUAUGCAGGCUGUCCAGGUGUCUAAAAAACACCUGAAGAAAGGGCCGGGCAAGACCGGUGCCAGCCGCCGCGGUAAUACCGGCGGCUCGAGUGGUGGCCACUUUUAUUGGGCUUAAAGCGUUCGUAGCUGGGUUGUUAAGUCUCUUGGGAAAUCUGACGGCUUAACCGUCAGGCGUCUAAGAGAUACUGGCAAUCUUGGAACCGGGAGAGGUGAGGGGUACUUCGGGGGUAGGAGUGAAAUCCUGUAAUCCUCGAGGGACCACCUGUGGCGAAGGCGCCUCACCAGAACGGCUUCGACAGUGAGGGACGAAAGCUGGGGGAGCAAACCGGAUUAGAUACCCGGGUAGUCCCAGCCGUAAACGAUGCGCGUUAGGUGUAUCGGUGACCACGAGUCACCGAGGUGCCGAAGGGAAACUGUGAAACGUGCCGCCUGGGAAGUACGGUCGCAAGGCUGAAACUUAAAGGAAUUGGCGGGGGAGCAC